rnacentral:rRNA from 1 species
CCUACGGGGGGCAGCAGUGAGGAAUAUUGGGCAAUGGGCGCGAGCCUGAACCAGCCAAGUAGCGUGAAGGAUGACUGCCCUACGGGUUGUAAACUUCUUUUAUAAAGGAAUAAAGUGAGGCACGUGUGCCUUUGUGGAUGUACUUUAUGAAUAAGAGUCGGAUAACUCCGUGCCAGCAGCCGCGGUAAUACGGAGGAGACGAGCGUUAUCCGGAUUCAUUGGGUUUAAAGGGAGCGUAGAUGGGUUGUUAAGUCAGUUGUGAAAGUUUGCGGCUCAACCGUAAAAUUGCAAUUGAUACUGGCAGUCUUGAGUACAGUUGAGGUAGGCGGAAUUCGUGGUGUAGUGGUGAAAUGCUUAGAUAUCACGAAGAACUCCGAUUGCGAAGGCAGCUUACUAAACUGCCACUGACGUUGAUGCUCGAAAGUGUGGGUAGCAAACAGGAUUAGAUACCCGAGUAGUC